CCUCUCACUGAUUGUGAGCUCAUUAGUUACAUUUUUUCAGGGUUUAGUUUGGACUAUGAUCCAUUUAUAACCUCCCUCAAAACUCGACUUGAAUCAAUGACCUUCCAGGAGACAUAUGGGCACCUCCUCAAUUAUGAAU